GACGAACGCUGGCGGCGUGCUUAACACAUGCAAGUCGAACGGAAAGGCCCUGCUUUUGUGGGGUGCUCGAGUGGCGAACGGGUGAGUAACACGUGAGUAACCUGCCCUUGACUUUGGGAUAACUUCAGGAAACUGGGGCUAAUACCGGCUAGGAGCUCCUGCUGCAUGGUGGGGGUUGGAAAGUUUCGGCGGUUGGGGAUGGACUCGCGGCUUAUCAGCUUGUUGGUGGGGUAGUGGCUUACCAAGGCUUUGACGGGUAGCCGGCCUGAGAGGGUGACCGGCGACAUGGGGACUAAGGUACGGCCCAGACGCCUACGGGGGGCAGCAGGGGGGAAUAUUGCACAAUGGGCGGAAGCCUGAUGCAGCAACGCCGCGUGCGGGAUGACGGCCUUCGGGUUGUAAACCGCUUUCGCCUGUGACGAAGCGUGAGUGACGGUAAUGGGUAAAGAAGCACCGGCUAACUACGUG
rnacentral:rRNA from 1 species